UAAAUCUAUUAAUUCAGUAUCGGAAAACACACCAUUUUUAUUCUUCUUUUCAUUAAUCAACAACUUUCUAACAUCAUCCUGAUACAUAUCAACAUUAGAAGUCUUUUUCUUUUUGUCAAUAUCCAAGCCAAAAACACUGCUGCAUUCGAAAAGGCGAACCGCGCGGACCCGACUUCUUCCUUUUAUGCUGAAACUAGCCGCUGGGGGAAAAGAGCCCAGAAGGGUAAAAAAAACAACAGGGGUUGCUCGCCUUGUUGAAACUAGUCCCCUUGCUGGCUCGGAAGCACCAGACCUAUUCGUUUCACUCGAGAAAGUCAUUUGCUUCACCGGUUCGAUAUGCGAUAUCAAAAUCCUUUCCUUCCACGGAUGCGACUAAAAAGAGAACGAAAAGACCCGGAAAUAACGAAUAAUGAGAAAAUUCAUUUAUAGACAUUUCGUGCUCAUUUCCAAAUUUCUGCUUAGUUAUUCCCAUCAUCCGGUAACCACAGGAUGAUCCCAAUCCCGUAGCAGCUACUUUUAAGGUUUAUCGCCCAUCGGCCCAGAAAUCCAUAGAAAGACGAUUGAGAUUAGUGAAUGGCAUCGAUCUGAAGUUCAUAGAAUCUCUAGCGUGCAGUUGUCUGUCUUCUAUUUUGAUCGAGCACUUUCUCCGUUAUACGAGCAUGCAAUUCCUCAAGAAAUCAGUGUUUUCCAAUAUAGAAGUGGAGUAGUUCUUGUGCAAUCUAGGCAUAGGGCUACUAGAAUCCAUCACUAAAAGAGGAGUUUUC
rnacentral:lncRNA from 1 species